AGAGUUUGAUCCUGGCUCAGAUUGAACGCUGGCGGCAUGCCUAACACAUGCAAGUCGAACGGAAACGAUGCUAGCUUGCUAGCAGGCGUCGAGUGGCGGACGGGUGAGUAAUGUAUAGGGAUCUGCCUAGUAGUGGGGGACAACAUGUGGAAACGCAUGCUAAUACCGCAUACGCUCUACGGAGGAAAGUGGGGGACCUUUCGGGGCCUCAUGCUACUAGAUGAACCUAUAUUGGAUUAGCUUGUUGGUAAGGUAAUGGCUUACCAAGGCGACGAUCCAUAGCUGGUUUGAGAGAAUGAUCAGCCACACUGGGACUGAGACACGGCCCAGACUCCUACGGGAGGCAGCAGUGGGGAAUAUUGCACAAUGGAGGAAACUCUGAUGCAGCAAUGCCGCGUGUGUGAAGAAGGCCUUAGGGUUGUAAAGCACUUUCAGACGUGAGGAAAAGUAAUAAUUUAAUAAAUUAUUACCUUGACGUUAACGUCAGAAGAAGGACCGGCUAACUCCGUGCCAGCAGCCGCGGUAAUACGGAGGGUCCAAGCGUUAAUCGGAAUUACUGGGCGUAAAGCGCGCGUAGGCGGAUAUUUAAGUCAGAUGUGAAAUCCCUGGGCUCAACCUAGGAACUGCAUUUGAUACUGGAUAUCUAGAGUAUGGUAGAGGUGAGUGGAAUUUCAGGUGUAGCGGUGAAAUGCGUAGAGAUCUGAAGGAACAUCAGUGGCGAAGGCGACUCACUGGGCCAUUACUGACGCUGAGGUGCGAAAGCGUGGGUAGCAAACAGGAUUAGAUACCCUGGUAGUCCACGCCCUAAACGAUGUCAACUA
rnacentral:rRNA from 1 species